AGAGAUGUAGUUCAGUGGUAGAAUGCUUGCUUAGAAUGUGAGGCUCUGGGUUCAAUCCCCAGCACUGCCA
rnacentral:tRNA from 1 species